CAUUGGUCUAGGAACUGCAAGAAGUACUUGGAAGAAAAGAAAAAGAAGAAAGGAAGUGAGACUUCCACUUCAGGGUCUAAGUGAGACUAGAAGAUUUGCAAGAGGCGAGUUGGACGUUCGUGUCGGCAAUGGCGCAAAGGUUACGGUGUUGGCGGUCGGCACCUACCACUUGUCUCUACCCUCCGGAUUAGUUUUGGAAUUAAAUAAUUAUUAUUGCAUUCCUGCUUUGAACAAGAACAUUAUUUCUUCUUCAUGUUUGGAAGAAGUUGAUGAUUUUAAGAUUGUAAUAGAGAACAAACGUUGUUCUAUUUUUUGGAAUGGUAUUUUUUAUGCUCAUUGUC